GCCGCUGUAGCUCAGCGGAUAGAGCGGUAUUUUGACUAAAUCACAGGUCGUGGGUUCGAAUCCCACCAGUGGCA
rnacentral:tRNA from 1 species